rnacentral:rRNA from 1 species
GUAGGGGGCAAGCGUUAUCCGGAUUCACUGGGUGUAAAGGGAGCGUAGACGGUAAGGCAAGUCAGAUGUGAAAGCCCGGGGCUCAACCGCGGGACUGCAUUUGAAACUGUCCUACUGGAGUGCAGGAGAGGUAAGUGGAAUUCCUAGUGUAGCGGUGAAAUGCGUAGAUAUUAGGAGGAACACCAGUGGCGAAGGCGGCUUACUGGACUGUAACUGACGUUGAGGCUCGAAAGCGUGGGGAGCAA